GUGAACCUGCGGAGGGAUCAUUACCGA
rnacentral:rRNA from 2 species